GGGUGGUUGAGUAGAACCGGUCGCCAUGUCCGCGGGGAGCGCGACGCAUCCUGGAGCUGGCGGGCGCCGCAGCAAAUGGGACCAACCAGCUCCAGCCCCACUUCUCUUCCUCCCGCCAGCGGCCCCAGGUGGGGAGGUCACCAGCAGUGGGGGAAGUCCUGGGGGCACCACAGCUGCUCCUUCAGGAGCCUUGGAUGCUGCUGCUGCUGUGGCUGCCAAGAUCAAUGCCAUGCUCAUGGCAAAAGGGAAGCUGAAACCAACUCAGAAUGCUUCUGAGAAGCUUCAGGCUCCUGGCAAAGGCCUAACUAGCAAUAAGAGCAAGGAUGACCUGGUGGUAGCUGAAGUAGAAAUUAAUGAUGUGCCUCUCACAUGUAGGAACUUGCUGACUCGAGGACAGACUCAAGACGAGAUCAGCCGACUUAGUGGGGCUGCAGUAUCAACUCGAGGGAGGUUCAUGACAACUGAGGAAAAAGCCAAAGUGGGACCAGGGGAUCGUCCAUUAUAUCUUCAUGUUCAGGGCCAGACACGGGAAUUAGUGGACAGAGCUGUAAACCGGAUCAAAGAAAUUAUCACCAAUGGAGUGGUAAAAGCUGCCACAGGAACAAGUCCAACUUUUAAUGGUGCAACAGUAACUGUCUAUCACCAGCCAGCACCCAUCGCUCAGUUGUCUCCAGCUGUUAGCCAGAAGCCUCCCUUCCAGUCAGGGGUAUGUUUUGGGGAGGGAUCAUUAAUAGCAUUAUCAUUUCUAUAAAAAUGAUAUGUGCUGGCCAGGCACAGUGGCUCAUUCCUGUAAUCCCAGCACUUUGGGAGGCCAAGGUGGGUGGAUCAUUUGAGGUCAGGAAUUUGGACCAGCCUGACCAACGUGGUGAAACCCCGUCACGAACAUUACCCGGACCUGGUGGCAGGCACCU
rnacentral:sRNA from 1 species